rnacentral:rRNA from 1 species
GACGAACGCUGGCGGCGCGCUUAACACAUGCAAGUCGAACGGAAAGGCCUGCUUUCCCUUGUGGAUUGCGGGUACUCGAGUGGCGAACGGGUGAGUAACACGUGAGUGAUCUGCCCCCAACUUGGGUAUAAGCCUGGGAAACUGGGUCUAAUUCCCGAUAGGACUGCAGGGUGGUGCCUGUGGUGGAAAACGAUUUUCUAGUGGUUGGGGAUGAGCUCGCGGCCUAUCAGCUUGUUGGUGGGGUAAUGGCCUACCAAGGCGGGGACGGGUAGCCGGCCUGAGAGGGUGGACGGCCACAUUGGGACUGGGAUACGGCCCAGACUCCUACGGGAGGCAGCAGUGGGGAAUAUUGCACAAUGGGCGGAAGCCUGAUGCAGCGACGCCGCGUGGGGGAUGACGGCCUUCGGGUUGUAAACUCCUUUCGACCGCGAGGAAGCCACCUGGUUGGAAGGGUGGUGACGGUAGUGGUAGAAGAAGCACCGGCUAACUACGUG